UACAGAGGUCUCAAGCGUUGUUCGGAUUCAUUGGGCGUAAAGGGUGCGUAGGCGGCGCGGUAAGUCGGAUGUGAAAGUCCAGGGCUCAACCCUGGGAUGCCGGUGGAUACUGUCGGGCUCGAGUCCGGAAGAGGCGAGUGGAAUUCCAGGUGUAGCGGUGAAAUGCGUAGAUAUCUGGAGGAAUACCGGUGGCGAAGGCGGCAUCCUGGACCGGCAUUGACGCUGAGGAGCGAAAGCCAGGGGAGCAAAGCGGG
rnacentral:rRNA from 1 species